CGCGUGUGAAUUGCAGAAUCCCGUGAACCAUCGAGUCUUUGAACGCAAGUUGCGCCCGAAGCCAUUAGGCCGAGGGCACGUCUGCCUGGGUGUCA
rnacentral:rRNA from 1 species